GCAAAUAUAUUUCACGAGUAUAGCCGUCCGGCUAUACGUUUAAAAUAUUGGUAUAUUUAAAGAGUAUAGCCGCUCGGCUAUACUCUUUAAAUUUUAAUAU
rnacentral:miRNA from 1 species